UACGAAGGGGGCUAGCGUUGCUCGGAAUCACUGGGCGUAAAGCGCACGUAGGCGGAUAUCUAAGUCGGGGGUGAAAUCCUGGAGCUCAACUCCAGAACUGCCUUCGAUACUGGGUGUCUUCGAGUCCGGGAGAGGUGAGUGGAACUCCGAGUGUAGAGGUGAAAUUCGUAGAUAUUCGGAAGAACACCAGUGGCGAAGGCGGCUCACUGGCCCGGUACUGACGCUGAGGUGCGAAAGCGUGGGGAGCAAACAG
rnacentral:rRNA from 1 species